UCAUUAAGGACAAAUAUAUAAUCUCAUUUAGGACAUUUUUUGAAGAAAACCAUUCAAUCCAGUACGGGUCAUUUUGACCCCCUUUAUGCAGUCGCGAAGGUUUUUUUGGUUCAUGCAUUGUAGGCUUAAAUAUCAAAAAUCUAAAAGCUGUGCAUCAUACCUCACACCCAGUCGAACACUUUACAGUUGGUUGUGUGACUGUACGUCAUUCCUUUCAAAUGCUAUUGAGCUUCAAACAAUGGCAUAUUUUGUGUAUGGGCCCAUUCUGUAGUGAAAUUCAUAUCUAAUUCACAUAUGAUUUAAUAGCUUAUUUUGAUAAAUAUCAAAAAUCUAAAAAAAAAGUGUGCAUCAUACCUGACACCUAGAUGAACACUUUACAGUUGGUUAUAUGACUGCAAGUCAUUCCCUGCAAAUGCUAUUAAACGUGUUUAACAAUGUCGUAUGUAACUUUAGAGACGGUCCCUUAAUUUCCGCAUAUCUGCGAAUAUCGAACGUCCAACCAACUUUAUUCCAGUGGCGUCGUGAGCUAGUUCAGUUAGCUGCUUUGUUUAGCUCAACAAAAUGGCUGCCCAAGAGAGCGUCAAUAGGGCUAAAUCCCAAAUGGAUCCCUUUGGGCCACAGGGAGCACUACAUAAACUACAUCGGACAGGAGUAGGGAGCAGUGAACAAUGGCCCAUUUGAGAUUAAAUCUAGUGCUUAUGAAAACGAAAGAGGUGCUGUUACAGCGUGAUCAGUGUGCCAACACAACUUCCUUAUGGUGUAGGUAGUGUUUGGUGAUUUUGGUGUGACUUGCAGUGGGUUUGGAUGACCUCCUGAGUUGUAGCUAGCCUGCCUUGUCCCUGCCAAGCCUGGGCCUGGAGAAGUGAAGCAAAACAGCAGUGUGCGUUUGACCUUUUGGGGGACUCUGUUGUCCUGUUCCAUUGUGGGGUGAGUAUAGUGGUUAUAGGUAUGGAGGAGGAGAUGCAGGAGUUGCAAGAAUUAGUGGUGCAAUUGAGAGCAGACAAUGACCGGUUGUGCCGUGAACAGAUGCCAGGUGAGUCACCUGGUCCUAGCACCACUCCUUUUGUUGCCACCACGGCAGUGCCUGAUCCUCCCCAACCAGUUGAUGCUAAUCCGGUGGUGCAGGAAUGGUUCGUCUUUGUGGCUAGGGACUGACGGUGUCCAAAAUUUAGUGGUAAAUCCGGCACAGGCAUUGAUGAGUGGGUAGAGGAGGCUCAGGCAUGCAUGCAGGCUCGUUAUCUGUCUAAAGUUGACAAAGCGUUCUUUCUCUUUGAUUAUUUAGAGGGGGAAGCACGGGAGGAGAUUAGACACAGUCCCAGUGAGGAAUGGGGAGAUCCUGAUAAGAUUAUCGCAAUUCUACGUGAGUUGUAUGGUUGCUCUCAAUCAUAUGUAGCACUCCAAGAAGCCUUUUUUUCCAGGAGGCAGCUGGAUGGGGGAAUCUCUGUUAGAGUUUUUCCUGGCCUUGAUGAUUCUCCUGGAGAGGGUUAAACAGCAAUCACCUAAUGCUAUCGCUAAUGCCAAAAUUGUGUCUUUUGAUCAAUUUGUCAAGUGUGCAGCUGAUAGUUCUCUCCACCGGGAGCUGAAGCAACAAGUUUGCCGCCAGCCCACCUCUACUUUAUUGACAGUACGUGGUGAGGCGAUUAGGUGGGAAUGGGAGGGAAUGCCAGGGGGUGCGAGGGGCUGGAGUCAGUUCCAAUGGCUUAUGGCAUCCAGUAUGGUGUGCAAGGGCAUUCUCAGUUGGAGUUAAGGGAGCUGUGGGAGAUGUUAAAAUCACAGUAGCAACAGCUAAAUCAACUCACUCAGUGUUGAAUGUAUGCAGUUUCCUCGGCGUGUUCGUCGAUCAUCCCGUACUGAGGUAUUACUCUGUCGUCGUUGUCAAAAACCCGGUCAUUACGCUCGUGAGUGUGAUGGAGAACGUGUUCCUUCUUCCCUAGCGCGUCGGUAGGAACUCAAGGGGGUUUUCCCCAACCAUCGGAAAACUAGGUCCCACCAAACUGCAGAGUCAGAGUUUGGUAGGGAAAGACCAGGGCUCAAUGACUUUAGGUCCUUCGAACCAGGUUGAGUUAUAUGCGUUACUGCCAGUCACAGUGCUCCCCAGCAGUGUAAGGCAAGCGGGGAAGACUGGGCUGGGUUCCCAAGCAGUAGUUACUGCGUUGCCCAGUCUAGCUUUGGAUAUGCAGUCCUUGCAGAAAGAGGAUCCUGUUAUUGGUACGGAUGGAUCUCCCCUUGCAGAGAACGGGGCGGUCCACUGCAGGUCACCAUUCGAUUCUGUACCAUCCAUCACGGGACGUGGAGGAAGGGUUGUGAGAGAAGUCACCGCACCAGGUCCUACAUCUAAUAGAAUUUCGGUUUGGUUUAGGCCGUGGUUUGUAAGCCAAAAUAGUCCAAGGGUGUGUGUUUGUUGGGUCAUUGUCGGGAUGCUGAUUCAAAUAAAAGGGGGUAGAACGUGGCAGGGUAAGCGAUUUAACCAUCCUAUUGGCCCUGCUCGGGGUAUGGCUUCGGCAGACCAAUAGGGUGGGAGCUACCCGACUAUUUAAGGGCCCUUAUUUUGGUAAGCGCAUAGGUGUCUUGGUGAUUCAGAGUUCCUCGCUCCCCUGGCAUUUCCGGUUCCCAUUUCCGUUCAAGUACAUUCAGGCUUUGCUCACGGUAUAAUGAGGUGAACAUCUCAAGGCUAAUUUGUUUAUUUAUAGUCUUAGAGCGGCACUGGUGGCGCAUGCAUUGUGGCGAUUUGGUGCCGGAGAUCGCGUUCAGUGAUCGCAACAUUUAGCCCGUGGCUGAAUAUGUAUAUGUAUGUCGAGCCACGGUACCUGUGAGCAAUCAUACCACUUCGUGUCUAGUGUUUUGUUCAACCCAAUGGUAAGUGCACCUCUCCCUUUUUCACACUGGGACUUGGUAGAUUUAGGUUGACACUCUGAGCUUUGUGUUACGGUGAGAGUGGGGAGUUGAGCAUCUAAGACAAAUCCCUAGCCAAAGACACUACAUGUGAUGCUGCUGCUGUUUUGUUUUACUUACUGUUUUGCUUUACCUGAUUUUGUUUUACGGUCACUUUCUUGGUUUUAUGUAUUGUUCUGUUCCACCCGAUCUGUUUUGCUUCAUCUGAUUUGGUUUGCUUUACUUCAGUGUUUUGCUUUACUUUAGUUUUGGAUGUAUGGUGGGCUUAUGUUUUGUAACUACAUGCAGUCUGAGAGGCUUAGUCAUAAAGUAGUGUUUUCCAGCCUCAAACCUGUUUUCAAGUUUGUUGUUUCACACAGCCACCUUACUAUUGAGAGGGUGUAUGUUAAGCCUUACUGUCUCCAUGCUAUAGUUGCUAUAUUUUUCAUUUGUACUGUCUACCAUAAUUCUGGUUCUUCCUAGGUGCUGUUAACUUCCUCUAUUUCAUGUGGUGGUGUUACUGGGCCUGGGUGAUCUAGUCACCACCCCACGGUGUCUAACUUUCUUCUUUUUGUUUAUUGUUUAGUGUCUGUAACUUUUGAUUAAUUGGUGUUUUCUUUCUCUCCAGGAGCCAGUGAGUCUUGGUGGGACGGGGAGGCUAGCUGCAUUUAUUCGGUGGUGUGUGCUUCACAGCAUGCUCAGUAUGCCAACACAACAACUUCCUUAUGGUGUAGGUAGUGUUUGAUUUUGGUGUGACUUGAGGUGGGUUUGAAUGACCUCCCGAGCUGUAGCUGGCCUGCCUUGUCCUUGCCGAGCCUGGGCCUAGUGCUUAGUUUAAAAAUCUUUAUUGUGCUUCAUGGGAGAGUGAUUUUAUAUUUGUAUGUUAAGUUUUAAUGAUGCUUAAGUGUCAUAAUAAAAUAUAUUUUUUUAAAAUAUUUGUACUCGUGUCUCACUCUCAUGUUCCUUGCCCCGAUUGGUAAAGCUUCUGUGUGCUUUUAUUUGGGAGUAUUUCCCUGGUUCUCCCCCCGGGUGGUGUAGUUGGAUUUACUAAAUUUGGUAUAAACAUUUCCCUCCACUUGGGAAUGCCACAUUUUCUCAUAUUAAUUUUAAUUGUACGAGAAAACUGGUUAAUUUUUAGCUUUUUUCCGCUAUUAUCGGGUUUAUCUACCAGGUUUAAAAUCUCGCCGUGUCACACGUCACAUGCAGUGUAGUACUUCGAUGACACAUCGGUGUCUCAUAAUUAUUCAUGAGACUGUGUGUUCUUAUCCUAUGAGAAGAUGCUGUCUCUUAAUUAUUCAUGAUAGCACGUGGUACUUUCCUACAGAUGUAGUAGAUAAGAGCUGCGUUCAAAUGGGUCGCAAGAGUUUGUUUCAGUGGUGUAAGAGUUCAAGUGUGUUUUCUUGGGAGAGCUAUGAGAAUAGGAGAAAGGUGGACUUCGGACUUGAGUAGUGAGUGUAGAGCUUGUAUAACAGUGUAAAUUUGCUGUCCCUUCAAAAUAACUCAACACACAGUCAUUAAUGUCUAAACCGCUGGCAACAAAAGUGAGUAUACCAAAUUGGGCCCAAUUAGCCAUUUUCCCUCCCUGGUGUCAUGUGACUUGUUAGUAUUUAUAAGGUCUCAGGUGUGAAUGGGGAGCAGGUGUGUUAAAUUUGGUGUCCUCGCUCUCACACUCCCUCAUACUGGUCACUGGAAGUUCAACAUGGCACCUCAUGGCAAAGAACUCUCUGAGGAUCUGAAAAAAAGAAUUAUUGCUCUACAUAAAGAUGGCCUAGGCUAUAAGAAGAUUGCCAAGACCCUGACCCUGAGCUGCAGCACGGUGGCCAAGACCAUGCAGCAGUUUAACAGGACAGGUUCCACUCAGAACAGGCCUCGCCAUGGUCGACCAAAGAAAUUGAGUGCACGUGCUCAGCAUCAUAUCCAGAGGUUGUCUUUGGGAAAUAGACGUAUGAGUGCUGCCAGCAUUGCUGCAGAGGUUGAAGGGGUGGGGUGGGGGGGUCAGCCUGUCAGUGCUCAGACCAUACGCCGCACACCGCAUCAAAUUGGUCUGUAUGGCUGUUGUCCCAGAAGGAAGCUUCUUCUAAAGAUGAUGCACAAGAAAGCCUGCAAACAGUUUGCUGAAGACAAGCAAACUAAGGACAUGGAUUACUGGAACCAUGUCCUGUAGUCUGAUGAGACCAAGAUAAACUUAUUUGGCUCAGAUGGUGUCAAGUGUGUGUGGUGACAACCAGGUGAGGAGUACAAAAACAAGUGUGUCUUGCCUAUAGUCAAGCCUGGUGGUGGGAGUGUCAUGGUCUGGGGCUGCAUGAGUGCUGCUGGCACUGGGGAGUUACAGUUCAUUGAGGAAACCAUGAAUGCUAACAUGUACUGUGACGUACUGAAGCAGAGCAUGAUCCCCUCCCUUCGGAGAUUGGGCCGCAGGGCAGCAUUCCAGCAUGAUGACCCCAAACACACCUCCAAAACGACCACUUCUUUGCUAAAGAAGCUGAGGGUGAAGGUGAUGGACUGGCCAAGCAUGUCUUCAGACCUAAACCCUAUUGAGCAUCUGUGGGGCAUCCUCAAAUGGAGGAGGGGAAGAGGAUUCCAGUGGCAACCUGUGAAGCUCUGGUGAACUCCAUGCCCAAGAGGGUUAAGGCAGUGCUGGAAAAUAAUGGUGGCCACACAAAAUAUUGACACUUUGGGCCCAAUUUGGACAUUUUCACUUAGGGGUGUACUCACUUUUGUUGCCAGCGGUUUAGACAUUAAUGGCUGUGUUGAGUUAUUUUGAAGGGACAGCAAAUUUACACUGUUAUACAAGCUGUACACUCACUACUUUACAGUGUAGCAAAGUGUCAUUUCUUCAGUGUUGUCACAUGAAAAGAUAUAAUCAAAUAUUUACAAAAAUGUGAGGGGUGUACUCACUUUUGUGAGAUACUGUAGAUAUAUAGAUGUAUAGAUAUAUAUAAUAUUAAAGGUCCGCGGGCCAUUGUGUGCAAAACUAUGCAACGAGAGUACAUGUGGAAGAGAAGAGCCUUCGCCUUUUUAUUCGUGAAAAGCUCGAGCCUAUUAACUAACUAC